AAUCAACGCUGGCGGCGUGCCUCAGACAUGCAAGUCGAACGAGAACCUCCCUUCGGGGAGGAGACAGUGGCGCACGGGUGAGUAACACGUGGGUAAUUUACCUUUGGGUGGGGAACAACAGCCGGAAACGGCUGCUAAUACCGCAUAAUGCAGCGGCUCGACAUCGAGACAGUUGUUAAAGCGGGGAUCGCAAGACCUCGCGCCUGAAGAGAAGCCUGCGGCGGAUUAGCUAGUUGGUAGGGGU
rnacentral:rRNA from 1 species